UACGUAGGCAGCAAGCGUUGUUCGGAGUUACUGGGCGUAAAGGGUGUGUAGGCGGCCGUUUUAGUUUGGUGUGAAAUCUCCCGGCUCAACUGGGAGGGUGCGCCGAAUACUGAAUGACUAGAGUGUGGGAGAGGUGAGUGGAAUUCCUGGUGUAGCGGUGAAAUGCGUAGAUAUCAGGAGGAACACCGGUGGUGUAGACGGCUCACUGGACCAUAACUGACGCUGAGACACGAAAGCGUGGGUAGCAAACAGG
rnacentral:rRNA from 1 species